AGAUCCUACGGGGGGCAGCAGUGAGGAAUAUUGGUCAAUGGGCGGAAGCCUGAACCAGCCAAGUCGCGUGAGGGAUUAAGGCCCUAUGGGUCGUAAACCUCUUUUGCCGGGGAGCAAAAAGCGGUACGUGUACCGCAUCGAGAGUACCCGGAGAAAAAGCAUCGGCUAACUCCGUGCCAGCAGCCGCGGUAAUACGGAGGAUGCGAGCGUUAUCCGGAUUUAUUGGGUUUAAAGGGUGCGCAGGCGGCGAGUUAAGUCAGCGGUAAAAUUUAGGGGCUCAACCUCUUCGAGCCGUUUAAACUGGU
rnacentral:rRNA from 1 species